CUACGGGCGGCAGCAGUGGGGAAUAUUGGACAAUGGGGGCAACCCUGAUCCAGCCAUGCCGCGUGUGUGAAGAAGGCCCUCGGGUUGUAAAGCACUUUCAGUGAGGAAGAACGCCUGGUGGUUAAUACCCAUCAGGAAAGACAUCACUCACAGAAGAAGCACCGGCUAACUCCGUGCCAGCAGCCGCGGUAAUACGGAGGGUGCGAGCGUUAAUCGGAAUUACUGGGCGUAAAGCGCGCGUAGGUGGCUUGAUAAGCCGGUUGUGAAAGCCCCGGGCUCAACCUGGGAACGGCAUCCGGAACUGUCAAGCUAGAGUGCAGGAGAGGAAGGUAGAAUUCCCGGUGUAGCGGUGAAAUGCGUAGAGAUCGGGAGGAAUACCAGUGGCGAAGGCGGCCUUCUGGACUGACACUGACACUGAGGUGCGAAAGCGUGGGUAGCAAACAGGAUUAGAUACCCUUGUAGUC
rnacentral:rRNA from 1 species